UACGGAGGGUGCGAGCGUUGUCCGGAAUCACUGGGCGUAAAGGGCGCGUAGGCGGUCGGACAAGCGUGCGGUGAAAGCCCGGGGCUCAACCCCGGGUCGGCCGUGCGGACUAUCUGGCUUGAGCACUGUAGAGGCAGGUGGAAUUCCGGGUGUAGCGGUGGAAUGCGUAGAGAUCCGGAAGAACACCGGUGGCGAAGGCGGCCUGCUGGGCAGUGGCUGACGCUGAGGCGCGACAGCGUGGGGAGCAAACAGG
rnacentral:rRNA from 1 species